rnacentral:lncRNA from 1 species
UGUUGAAAAUAAAAUAAACUUGAUUUUGUUAUAAUUAUUUGGGCUUAAGAAAUUAUGAAAAAUAAAUAGCCAAAUUCCGGAACAUUCUAGGCAACUCUAGAUUCCGGAACGUUCUAGAGAACUCUAGUCCAUUUGAGCUUGGAAAUACUCUAGAAUUCUCCAUAGAAUUCUAGCACAUGUACCUAGCUAGAAAGUAAUACAACUCUCUAGACUCUCUAGAAUUCUAGCACAUGUACAUAGCUAGGAAAUGGUAGAACUCUCUAGUCACUCUAGAGUUUGGCAAGCCUCCCCUAUAAAUAUGGGAUGACAUUUGGCAUUUGUAUAACAUACAACACACAACAUAUCAAGCCAAAAGAAUCAAAAACAAGUU